AUUGUUUGUCCAAUGUCCUCUUAUUUUCUCGCACUGGUUAUUGUAGUAAAAUUGGAAAGCUUAUGCUUGCAAGAUUGUUGACUGCACAUGAUGCAAUGAUGUCAUAUGAUAAAACUCCAGAGACAUGCAAGAUGGUCCAUUCUGAAGAAGUUAAAGAAUUAUAUAGUGAUCUUAUGACAUUGGACCCACCACAUUCUCAAUACUACAAGGAUGAAUACAGCUUAGUCGUGUUAAAGCAGCUGACCUCCAGUCCGGAAUCUUUGCUGAGUGUCAUUACAGGGACUCGGCAUCAUCAAGCACCAAUAAUUAUAUCUAUUUACGAUUCAGUAAUCUUUUGUUGUCACAUAUUGGAUCUAUUGAGAGAUUACUGUGGGUCCAAAUGUUAGACCUCAGCCACAACCAACUUAGCUCAAUUGAAGUCUUUAUGACAGGAUUGCAGACUAUGCAGCUUCUUUCUUGCUUGAACCUUAGUAACAACAAAAUGGGUAGUUUUUCUGCUCUGGAGCCUUUAAAACUGCUAAAGUCAUUGAAAGUGUUGGAUAUCUCAUACAAUGAAAUCGGUGCCCACACUGUCGACACAAGAAGGUACUUGUGCUCUUCUCCCCUCUCCCAUAUAGUAGGAAGUGAUUGAAAUUUUGGUGAAUUUAUAAUUAGUGGUGUCAAUGUGACAAAUUACUGGAAAGCGUUUGCAAUUUUUAAAGACUCGAAGUUGACACAAUUAGACAUUAUUGUUGUUGCUGAAGAAAAGUUUAAGUUGUUUCUGGUUAAGAUAUUACCUGCGCUUAAUUGGCUUGAUGGUGUAGAAUUGCAUUGAUUCUACAUUCCUUAUCUUGUUUCUCAUACGGUUAAGUUGUAGCUUAUUUUCAUAUAAUUUACCAAAGAACAGUUGUUGUUUUAUAAGAUAAUGAACAUUUGCUUAUAGAUGCUUUUAACCCCAACUAUUUUGCCAUAUGGUGUUUUGGUAAUUUUUUAAAUUUAUCAAUUGAUCU